rnacentral:rRNA from 1 species
UGGCGGCAAUAGCAAAUGUGAACCACCCGAUCCCAUCUCGAACUCGGAAGUGAAACCGUUUAGCGCCGAUGAUAGUGUAGGGUUUCCUUAUGCGAAAGUAGGACACUGCCA